rnacentral:rRNA from 1 species
UACGGGGGGGGCAAGCGUUGUUCGGAAUUACUGGGCGUAAAGGGCUCGUAGGUGGCCAACUAAGUCAGACGUGAAAUCCCUCGGCUUAACCGGGGAACUGCGUCUGAUACUGGAUGGCUUGAGUUCGGGAGAGGGAUGCGGAAUUCCAGGUGUAGCGGUGAAAUGCGUAGAGAUCCGGAAGAACACCGGUGGCGAAGGCGGCCUGCUGGGCAGUAGCUGACACUGAGGCGCGACAGCGUGGGGAGCAAACAGG